UACGGGGGGAGCAAGCGUUGUUCGGAUUUACUGGGCGUAAAGGGCGCGUAGGCGGCCACCGCAAGUCGACUGUGAAAUCUCCGGGCUUAACCCGGAAAGGUCAGCCGAUACUGCGGGGCUAGAGUGCAGAAGGGGCAACUGGAAUUCUCGGUGUAGCGGUGAAAUGCGUAGAUAUCGAGAGGAACACCUGCGGCGAAGGCGGGUUGCUGGGCUGACACUGACGCUGGGGCGCGAAAGCUAGGGGAGCGAACGGG
rnacentral:rRNA from 1 species